AGGAGAGGGGCUUGGCUGGGGUUGGACGUCAGGGACCGCAGGUGGGAGGUUGGAGGGUGUGUUACCUGGCAUCCAGCUGUGAGGCAGGCCCCGCCCAGGUGAGCACAGAGCAGGGGCAGGGGAACAGGUGGCGGAUCCCCAGGCAGGGGCCCAGGCCAGCCCCAGGAGAAGUAGUUGGGUGGGGACACCGCGUCCUGAGCAGGGCACCUGAGCCUCAGAGCUGGUAGGACACAGUCCUCCCUGCCUGGGGCGGUUCAAGGACAGGGUGCAGUGUCACCUGCUGAGAAUGGAGCUGCCUGGGUCAGGUGGGUGCAGCCCGGUGCCCUGCACGUGCCCCCAACAGCCCUCCGCGUUUGCUGAGUGGGCACUGACAGGUGCUAACAAAAGGUGUCGGGUGUCCAUACCCUGGAGCUCCCUAACAAAGCAAAGUGUGCUUUCUCUUUCUAGGACUCCAACAUGUGUACACACACAUGUACCAGGCUGACCCUCCCCUCUUGUAGGUUCCAGGAGAACAACAUGAGACGGAUAGAGGGCAAACUGGACACCUUGUGUGACUUUGUUCAGUGCUAUAAUCAGAUGCCGUUGCCGUGGUAUCAGCCCAGGAGCAAGGUGAGAGGGCCCAGGGGUGCUCCCACGGGCAGGGGCAUAUUUGCUGUUUGCCCGUGACAGCGGCACGAUGGGUCUGUGGCUCGGAGCCUGUGUCUGGGCAUCUGCCGACACAGGAGAGGUGGUGCCCGUGAGCCGUCCAGGCCAGUCCUGGGCUCUGUAUCUGCAUUUUCCUGCUGGUCAUCCCCAUGGCAACAGGCGCUUUCUUAGGGGUGGUGAGGCCCAGAGCCUCCCAUUUACGUCAGAGAAGCCCAAGAGGGCAUCUGGCCAGUGAGCUCUCCUGGCCCCCAUUGGCGUCCCUCUGGUGAGCGCCCCCUGCCCGGGAUCUGCUGGCUGUUCCCACCCGAGACCCCCUGGGCGGCUCACCCCACCGGGCCUCCU
rnacentral:lncRNA from 1 species